GAUGAAGAACGUAGCGAAACGCGAUAGUUAAUGUGAAUUGCAGAAUUCAGUGAAUCAUCGAAUCUUUGAACGCACAUUGCGCCCGCCAGUAUUCUGGCGGGCAUGCCUGUUCGAGCGUCAUUUCAACCAUCAAGCCCCCGGCUUGUGUUGGGGACCUGCGGCUGCCGCAGGCCCUGAAAUGCAGUGGCGGGCUCGCUGUCACUCCGAGCGUAGUAGUUACAUCUCGCUCUGGGCGUGCUGCGGGUUCCGGCCGUUAAAAGCCUUAUUUACCCAAGGUUGACCUCGGAUCAGGUAGGAAGACCCGCUGAACUUAAGCAUAUCAAUAAGCGGAGGA
rnacentral:misc_RNA from 1 species